rnacentral:rRNA from 1 species
GAUGAGCGCUAGCUACAGGCUUAACACAUGCAAGUCGAGGGGUAACGAGAGGAAAGCUUGCUUUCCUUGUCGACGACCGGCGCACGGGUGAGUAACGCGUAUCCAACCUGCCCCCAACUAAGGAAUAACCUUGCGAAAGUAAGACUAAUACCUUAUAAUUUCCUCAGAUGUCAUCUGACGAGGAAUAAAGAUUUAUCGGUUGUGGAUGGGGAUGCGUCUGAUUAGCUUGAUGGCGGGGUAACGGCCCACCAAGGCAACGAUCAGUAGGGGUUCUGAGAGGAAGGUCCCCCACAUUGGAACUGAGACACAGUCCAAACUCCUACGGGAGGCAGCAGUGAGGAAUAUUGGUCAAUGGGCGAAAUCCUGAACCAGCCAAGUAGCGUGCAGGAUGACGGCCCUAUGGGUUGUAAACUGCUUUUAUACAGGAAUAAAGUUAGCCACGUGUGGUUAUUUGUAGGUACUGUAUGAAUAAGGACCGGCUAAUUCCGUGCCAGCCGCCGCAGUAA